UCACAUUAACGGUUAACAACCUAUUGUAAUAAAAAAAAAAAAUUAAGAUGAAGUUCUUUGGAAUUUUCGUAGCACUUUUCGUGGUUGUUGCUUAUUUUAGCACAGUUUCAGCUCAAGUUAAAAACGAACAACCAUGCCCAAUUUAUGUUGAUUCUCGUGAAACAAGAAUGCAAUUGAUGUGGUUGGAAGACAUGAAUCAAGGUACACAUGUUGUUGAUUGUCCCCCAGACGUGAAGAAACCUUGCUUCAAAGUUAAGUGCCAAAAAGGUUCUAUCCUUUCAAUUGAAAAUUGGCCGAGAUCUUAAAAAAAAAAAAAAAACAAAAA